GGUGGUGAUGAACCUAUCCCUUUGAAAUGAUGAUGAGGAUCUUGAGUUCUGAGCC
rnacentral:snoRNA from 1 species